rnacentral:ncRNA from 2 species
ACGCCGCACGCUCGGACAGGUGCGACGUGAGAGGGAACCCGGUGAGAAUCCGGGACUGUCCCGCAGCGGUAUGCAGGAACGACCGCCGUCAUCAGCACUGGCCCGCACGUAAUUUCGGGGCUGGGAAGCGACGGCCACUAGGUGCACGAGUUCUCGUGCGUGCCUGCGAGUCCGAAGACCUGCCAGCCGUACCGGGCGCGC